UACGGAGGGUGCGAGCGUUGUCCGGAAUUAUUGGGCGUAAAGAGCUCGUAGGCGGUGUGUCGCGUCGGUCGUGAAAACUUGGGGCUUAACCCUGAGCUUGCGGUCGAUACGGGCAUCACUGGAGUUCGGCAGGGGAGACUGGAAUUCCUGGUGUAGCGGUGAAAUGCGCAGAUAUCAGGAGGAACACCGGUGGCGAAGGCGGGUCUCUGGGCCGAUACUGACGCUGAGGAGCGAAAGCGUGGGGAGCGAACAGG
rnacentral:rRNA from 1 species